rnacentral:rRNA from 1 species
AUUGAACGCUGGCGGCAGGCCUAACACAUGCAAGUCGAGCGGCAGCGGAAAGUAGCUUGCUACUUUGCCGGCGAGCGGCGGACGGGUGAGUAAUGUCUGGGAAACUGCCAGAUGGAGGGGGAUAACUACUGGAAACGGUAGCUAAUACCGCAUAACGUCGCAAUGCCAAAGAGGGGGACCUUCGGGCCUCUUGCCAUCCGAUUUGCCUAGAUGGGAUUAGCUAGUAGGUGGGGUAACGGCUCACCUAGGCGACGAUCCCUAGCUGGUCUGAGAGGAUGACCAGCCACACUGGAACUGAGACACGGUCCAGACUCCUACGGGAGGCAGCAGUGGGGAAUAUUGCACAAUGGGCGCAAGCCUGAUGCAGCCAUGCCGCGUGUAUGAAGAAGGCCUUCGGGUUGUAAAGUACUUUCAGCGGGGAGGAAGGCGAUAAGGUUAAUAACCUUGUCGAUUGACGUUACCCGCAGAAGAAGCACCGGCUAACUCCGUGCCAGCAGCCGCCGCCG